GCCUAACCAUAACAAAACAAUCAAAUAACCCAUUGUUCGCCAAAUAACUACGAGUAAAAACUUAAAAUGUAAAAGACUUGACGGUACCUCAAAACAACCUAGAGGAGCCUGUCUAAUAACCGAUACCCCACGAUCAACCCAACCCACUCUAGCCUAACAGUCUAUAUACCGCCGUCGCAAGCCUACCUUGUGAAAGAAACAAAGUGAGCACAAUAGCCAUCACACUAACACGACAGGUCGAGGUGUAACUUAUGAGGGGGUUAAGAUGGGCUACAUUUUCCAAUACAGAAAACACGGAUUAAUCUAUGAAAAAGAAACUAAAGGAGGAUUUAGCAGUAUAUUAGGAACAACAUACCUAAUUGAAACCAACGCAAUGAGGUGCGUACACACCGCCCGUCAUCCCUGUGUACAAACAUAAAACAUAUAUAAUAAAAACAAACUACUAAAACAGGGCAAGUCGUAACAUGGUAAGCGUACUGGAAAGUGCGCUUAGAUA
rnacentral:rRNA from 1 species